rfam:Candidatus Gottesmanbacteria bacterium RIFCSPHIGHO2_01_FTLL_40_15 rifcsphigho2_01_scaffold_1925, whole genome shotgun sequence.
UCUAUCCGGUGCAAGCGUUGGAUACUUGAGGGGAGCUCUUGCUAGUACGAGAGGACUGCGAGGGAGGAAUCCCUGGUGUGCCAGUUGUGGGACAGAGUGCCUGCAGCAAGCUGGAUAGCUAUAUUCCUACGGGAUAAGCGCUGAAAGCAUCUUAAGCGCCAAGCCCACCCCAAGAUAAGGUAUCCUUAUGAGACCCCUGGAAGACUACCAGGUUGAUAGGCGGAAAGUGUACGCACCGUGAGGUGUUUAGCUUAUCCGUACUAAUUGGUCCAGAGUAAAUUUUAA